UCUGUUCCUUUUGUGCCCGCCGCCGCGGUCCUACGUAGGGGGCAAGCGUUAUCCGGCAUUCCUGGGUGUCCAGGGUGCGUCGGUGGUAUGGCAAGUCAGAAGUGAAAACCCAGGGCUUAACUCUGGGACUGCUUUUGAAACUGUCAGACUGGAGUGCAGGAGAGGUAAGCGGAAUUCCUAGUGUAGCGGUGAAAUGCGUAGAUAUUAGGAGGAACAUCAGUGGCGAAGGCGGCUUACUGGACUGAAACUGACACUGAGGCACGAAAGCGUGGGGAGCAAACAGG
rnacentral:rRNA from 1 species